GCGACCACCGAGCUGCAAUCCAAUUCGAGAAUCAUCAGGGCCUCUGGCCAUCUAAGAGCCAAUCGAACACCUUCGUGAGCUCUAGCCUCUACUUUCUCUGUAUCCCUGCAAUGAGAUAUGAUGCACCAUUAAGUUAGUUUUGGGGAACCCUCCUAGUCUCUAAUCGCCACGCCCACUAAGCGUCUCCGGACAAAUGGUAUUGCUUCCAUCUGAAGCUACAUUCAAAUUUGGAUGUAACUAAAUUUGAAUCCAAAUUAGCAAAUUUAUAUUCAUAUCUGCAGGCACUUUGCUAAGAAUCCAUAUCCAACAAAAAAUACAGAUACUAAUGUUAUCUUGAACUAUUUUUUAAAUACAAUUAGAUGACAUUAUUACAAUAUUUUUUAAUUCCAUAUGUUCAAUAUGAUAGUUGAAUAGUGUUGAUCGGAUAUAUAUUAAUGGUUUUCCUGUUGCUGUCUUUUGUCCUAAAGGUGCCCAACAUGAUGGAGUCUUCGGAGAUUGAGAUAGUUAGCUCUGCUUUGCCUGUAAGAACUGGCUAUGGAAAUUUAAAUCUAACACUUACUGUUUUUUUUUUUGAAAAUGUCACAAGCUUUUGUCUUUUAUGCCACUACUGGGAUGUUGCAGUUUCUUUUUUUGUUUUGAACAUGAUGUUACAGUUUCUGAUCAGCUAGCUUAUUUGUGCUCAAUGUAUUGCUUCCACCUGAAAGCUACAUUCAAAUUAUUUGUUUAAAAGUACAAGGAGGAAAUUCUGCUAUCUAGUUUAUUACCAAUUCAAUUUUCUCUCAUCCAAAUGGGUUAUUUCGCUUUUAGAGAUAACCAAUUUGCAUUGGAAUCUUAUGAGUCAUACCAAUAUAUAAUCAGUGGUAAUAGAAGAAUGCUCGGGAAACGAUAUGAUAGUAUUAGAAAUAUUUAUGUAUUUUUCAUAACUGCAAUACAAAGUUAAGAAUUAUUGAAUUGAUAGUUGUUAAUUUCUUGUCUGUUUUGUAUCAUCAUUCUAUUGAAGGUUCCCAACAUGAUGGGCUACCCUGAGGAGACUAGAAGCAAACACGUGACAGUAAGAAUUACAUAUCAAACUUUUUAUUGUCUCCGUGUAUUUGUCUUUUUAGUUACAAGCUUAACUAGCUAUCAUGUUAAUAGGCAUUAAUAUCGGCAAAUGAUAAGGUUUUGUUGAAAUAUUUCAUUUGUUUCUAUUAAUUUGUUAGAACUACGU
rnacentral:lncRNA from 1 species